rnacentral:rRNA from 1 species
CCUACGGGUGGCAGCAGUGGGGAAUAUUGCACAAUGGGGGAAACCCUGAUGCAGCGACGCCGCGUGAGUGAAGAAGUAAUUCGGUAUGUAAAGCUCUAUCAGCAGGGAAGAAAAUGACGGUACUUGAGGAAGAAGCCCCGGCUAAAUACGUGCCAGCAGCCGCGGUAAUACGUCGGGGGCAAGCGUUAUGCGGAAUUACUGGGUGUAAAGGGAGCGGAGGCGGCAGUGACAGGCUGGAGUGAAAGGCGGGGGCUCAACCCCCGGACCGCACUUGAAACUGUACGGCUUGAGUGCAGGAGAGGCAGGCGGAAUUCCUAGUGUAGCGGUGAAAUGCGUAGAUAUUAGGAGGAACACCAGUGGCGAAGGCGGCUUACUGGACUGUAACUGACGUUGAGGCUCGAAAGCGUGGGGAGCAAACAGGAUUAGAUACCCUUGUAGUC